UUUGAACUGACUUUCACCCAGUGCUCCUGUUUUUAGGUCCUCUUUUGUCUGCGUUUCCAGAGCCCACAGAUAAAGGCCUGAGACAACUGGACUUACAGUGAGUCUGCAAACCGUGGACAUGGACCGGCCUGAUCAGCAAAGAACACGGCAGGGGUGUUCAUGGCUCAACAUUUCAAGGUCGGGCCUGAGGGCUGCUCUGUGUCCAGUCCAGAGGCUGGGGAUAUCGAUGCCUCCGUUUUAUUAGCUGCUUCCA